UGGGGAAUAUUGCACAAUGGGGGAAACCCUGAUGCAGCGACGCCGCGUGAACGAAGAAGGUAUUCGUAUCGUAAAGUUCUGUCCUAUGGGAAGAUAAUGACAGUACCAUAGAAGAAAGCUCCGGCUAAAUACGUGCCAGCAGCCGCGGUAAUACGUAUGGAGCGAGCGUUGCCCGGAAUUAUUGGGCGUAAAGGGUACGCAGGCGGUUUAAUAAGUCGAAUGUUAAAGAUAGGGGCUCAACCCCGCAAAGCAUUGGAAACUGAUAAACUUGAGUACUGGAGAGGAAAGUGGAAUUCCUAGUGUAGUGGUGAAAUGCGUAGAUAUUAGGAGGAAUACCAGUAGCGAAGGCGACUUUCUGGACACAAACUGACGCUGAGGUACGAAAGCGUGGGGAGCAAACAGG
rnacentral:rRNA from 1 species